AGAGUUUGAUCCUGGCUCAGAUUGAACGCUGGCGGCAUGCUUUACACAUGCAAGUCGAACGGCAGCACGGGUGCUUGCACCUAGUGGCGAGUGGCGAACGGGUGAGUAAUGCACCGGAACGUACCCAGUAAUGGGGGAUAACACAUCGAAAGAUGUGCUAAUACCGCAUACGCCCUGAGGGGGAAAGCGGGGGAUCGUAAGACCUCGCGUUAUUGGAGCGGCCGAUGCCGGAUUAGCUAGUUGGUGAGGUAAGAGCUCACCAAGGCGACGAUCCGUAGCUGGUCUGAGAGGACGACCAGCCACACUGGGACUGAGACACGGCCCAGACUCCUACGGGAGGCAGCAGUGGGGAAUUUUGGACAAUGGGCGCAAGCCUGAUCCAGCCAUGCCGCGUGAGUGAAGAAGGCCUUCGGGUUGUAAAGCUCUUUCGCAAGGAAAGAAAACUUAUCUACUAA
rnacentral:rRNA from 1 species